rnacentral:rRNA from 1 species
CAGUUCUCGUACGCUCACCGAAGUUAAGCAACGUUGAUCUUGGUCAGUACCUAGAUGGGUGACCGCUUUGCAAUACCAGGUGCUGUAAG